AUGGCUAAAUUUUGGUGGAGUGGAUCCCUUGAUCGACGUGCGAUGCAUUUGUUGGCAUGGGAUAAACUUGCAUCUUCAAAAGCCCAAGGAGGUAUGGAUUUUCGGGAUAUGAAAUUGUUUAACUUGGCGCUGCUCGGGAAACACGGAUGGAGAUUCAUUACCAAUCCGGAUUCGUCAUGCGCCAGGGUUAUAAAGGGCCGGUACUUUCCCGAUGGGGAUUUCUUGGAGGCCACGGUGCCGAAGACGACGUUUGCUAUUUGGCGCACAAUUGUCGCAGGCAGGAAGGCGCUCAAUGUUGGUCUAAUCAAAAGGGUUGGCGACGGGACUACUAUCUCAGUUUGGCAUGAUAAGUGGAUCCCAGGUUUGCAUACUUUAUCUCCUAUGAAUGUACCAGGAGGGAUGACGCUGGAAACUGUGGACUAG
rnacentral:rRNA from 1 species